rnacentral:lncRNA from 1 species
GCGGAUACAUGGUCUGUGUUUGCAAAAUGGUUAUGCAAGCAUAGAAAGCAUUAUUGCUAAUCGGGUGAGCCGUAUCAGAUCUAAGUACGUUCCCCGAACAAACGGGAUGCGCAAUCGACGUUAGACUUUCAAAACCGAGCGAAAAGACAGAAAUCCCUGCUCCGAAUAUUAACGCUUACAGUCCAUCAUCCUUACUUAACGUUCCAUGCACCGCGGAGCUAACUCUUCAUCCGUUUCCUUCCUUACAAUGCACAUCCGUCAGGGCCAGAGUCUUUGUGGCAAUCUUUCAUAUUCAGCACGCAAUGAACCCUUCAUGGACACCAGCUGCAUUAGCCUGGCUUGUCGUCCUCGCGGCAGCCUGGGCAAAUGGCCCAACGCGAUUUAAGUAUGCUGCUGCUUGCGGCCAAGAAAGUGGCAUUCCAAAACUGUCAUAUCAUCCCCUGGUUUCGUUGUAUUUGGUUUGCAUACAAGUCGACGUGGAUACUACCUGCUGUGACCGCCGUAUCAGAAGACACUUUUCCUGUACGGGCGGAACCAACAACAGCGAAGUUCAAAAAACCCGACUAGUAGCUAAAACUCAGCAUUCAUAGAGUUAAACGUCCCCGUCCGUGACUUGUACAUAACAAUCCAAGCAUCUCCUAAGCGUCUUUCUCCCCCUUCGUAAGGCCAUCGCGUCCACCAACGCACGUCUUACAUCCGCCCAGUACAGUGCCGUUGAAGCUGUGACGAGUAAUAUGAACGCUUAAGUAAUUUAUGAACAUCCGCUGCGUUUGCCUAGCAUUGUCGUAAAGGAGGUCGCGUCGGCAUCAGGCCAUCAACGUUGCGCCCAGGACAACACUUGCUGCAGCCAAGAAACAGAAAGUAUAUCUCUAUUCGUUCAUCCCCUUGGUCUUAGGGUUGCCCCUAAGACGACGUAGAUACCACCUCCUGACACCGCCGUACCGGAAAGCACUUUUCCGGUACGGGCAGAGCCAGCAGCAUUCCAGGUUCAGAAUUGAACCCAAAGGCAGAAAUCACCAUUCUGAGAGUUGAACGUCGCCAUCCAUGAUUUAGACAUACCAUUCCAUGGCCUGUGCAUGCGCGUCCGUGUCCUUCACUACGUUGCCAUCACGUCCACCAACGCACACUUGACAUCCGUCCUGUCCAGAGCCGUCGUCGCGAGCUUCGACAACAUGAAUGUAAGCAACAUUCGGAACAUCCGUCCUGUUUGCAUGGGAUUGUCGUCCUCCCGCCGGCGGAAAAGCCACUCAACGUAUUGCUUAAGAAUUCCUACCCAAGCCUAUAACACAAACAUAAUAACAUUGUCCUAGCAUUCCAUAGCCCUACUUGACUUGCCUACAAGUCCACAGAAACGAGUUGCCCCGGUCGGACCCUCCAAGUCUAGCCCAGUAGCUUACUGUGGGCUGACGUUAGUGAACAUGGAAUGCAAGCUGUGUGUGUGCUCAUCCCCUUUGAAAAAGGUUUGACUACGACUUGACACACAGACUCCCUCCUGCAACAAAUGUACAUUUUCCGUACGAGCGUGACGAGCAACAUAAGAGAUCCAGAACCGACCACACCGGCAGAAUUCAUCGUUCAGUUCCUUAAACCUUCAUUUACGGUUUCCCUACAAACAGCUCCAUGCCUUGGAUAUGCGUCUGUUUUCUUCCUUACGAACAUCACAUUUUACGUUCGUCAGGGUCAGAGUCUUCGUAGCAAUCUUUCAUAUUCAGCACGUAAUGAUCCAAUCAUGGACACCAGCUGCAUUAGCCUGGCUUGUCGUCCUCGCGGCAGCCUGGGCAAAUGGCCCAACGCGAUUUAAGUAUGCUGCUGCUUGCGGCCAAGAAACAAGCAUUCCAAAACUGUCAUAUCAUCCCCUGGUUUCGUUGUAUUUGGUUAAGCAGCCCCUCGCACAAAUGUGUCCGGUCGUACUUCGCGAAUAAACCGUUCGUACAUCGUCCAAAAAAGCCAGGAGCGAAAUUCACCGCGCGGAUGCGCGCGUGGGAUUCACAAAAUGCGCCUGUACAAGUGUAUAUAUUUUUUCUUGGCGGAAAGGACCAGGCGCGCCAGCGCGUUGCGCAGGUGGGCAUGUUGGCCAAAGCCGCACGCGGCAUGCAUGCUGGACUAUUGCGUGGCUGCUUUGCAGUAACUAAAAGCACCGAAAGCCAACGUCGUAGCUUGCAACUCUGGGCUCGUGAAACUGCCGCGGAAGAUGAAGCGCUGGCGAAGAGGCAAUUGUAUGCAGCACCUUGUUCAGAGUAAAGUCAAAUUACAAAGUUGCGCAAAGUAUAACAUACAUAAACUUAAUUAAACAUAAGAACAGAUAAGACGUUUAGAGCCUUGUCGGUGACAUGGACGCCGCUGUUGGCUUGGAACAGCUAUUUGCUGUGCAUAGGGACGUGCCCGCGUUAGCCGUGUUGCAACAGUCUCAGGAUGGAUUUCAGCCAGCAACAGCCUCAAGAGCUGCUGCACAACCACCGGGAAUGUCUUCAGUUGAGCACGUGUAGUUUUGGUCGGCGGGGUCGAGCAACGUACGCAAUGCGCACAGAAACCAAGGUGCAGCGUUCUGUAACAUCGCCAACAUAUCCGGUACGCGGUGGCAGGCUUGCCGAACUCGAAAUGAAGGGGGGGUCGCAUCUCACCAUUCAACUAAGCAUGCAUGUGCUCGGUUGAAUGCUCGGUAGCGUGCGAGUUUACCCCUAUUAGGAUGCUUGUUUGCAUAUCCCUCCAAGCGAGAGGGCUUGGACCUAUGCUGAUGUUCGUUCCAAGAAGUGAACUGAGGACUGAUGCUACGGUGAAAGAUUUGCACGUAAAUUCGCCCGUGCAAUAAAUCGCCCUGUAACUCGCUUACGCUAAUCUCACAUUCCAAUAUGCCACUGCACUUUCCUCUCCAGCCUGGCCACAUUCUCUUCCUCGCAAACGUACUUGGGCACCUUACAAUCCAACACCAUACGGGCUUUGGAAACGCGGGCAGCUGCUUCACAAGGACCCCCCUAUUUAAGCAGCCUCUCGCACAAAUGUGUCCGGUCGUACUUCGCGAAUAGAGAAUCCGUACAUCUCGUCCCAAAAGUCAGGAGCGAAUUUUGCCGCGCAGAUGCGCGCGUGCGAUUCGCAAAAUGCGCCUGUACAAAUGUAUAUAAAAUUUCUUGGCGGAUGAGGACCAGGUGCGCCAGCGCGUUGCGCAGGUGAGCAUGUUGGCCAUAGCCGCACGCUGAACUAUUGCGUGGAUGCUUUGCAGUAACUAAAAGCACCGAAAGCCAACGUCGUAGCUUGCAACUCUGGGCUCGUGAAACUGCCGCGGAAGAUGAAGCGCUGGCGAAGAGGCAGUUGUAUGCAGCACCUUGUUCAGAGUAAAGUCAAAUUACAAAGUUGCGCAUAGUAUAACAUACAUAAACUUAAUUAAACAUAAGAACAGAUAAGACGUUUAAAGCCUUGUCGGUGACAUGGACGCCGCUGUUGGCUUGGAACAGCUACCGUAGUGACAGGAAAUGUUCGUGAUUUUAUUGUUCGAGACACCCUCAAAAUUACACCCGAAAUUAUUGGUGAAACUUUUGAAUUCGUGAGAAGCCAACGCAACCGAAGCAACGGUGCCUGCAAUAUUCGUUAAUGGGUCCGACUCAGAACGCCGAUUGACGCAAAAGCUGGCCAAUGCAUGCACGGUUAUUCUGCACACCAGCAAACACCAGAUUCCAGAUUAGUGUGCGUAGUCGGCAAGGCGCGCGGGGGCCCUCAACUGCCUGGCCGUUCGCCUCAGUCCGCAUUGAAGGAGGCUUUGUUGCUUAGGCCGCUUAGCCCUCGGAUCCAUGUCCGUUCAAUUACUAUGGAUGUAUAUAUGGCCAGAAAAGUGGAAUUUGUCGAGUAAUUACUGUGUUGAAGGCAUUAUACGAUUUGGCUUCGGAGCACACAUAUAUUCGUGACGACCAUCGCCUGGAACAGCUUGUAAUUUAUAUGUGACAUAAUUUCGUGAUGCCGUCACGAAAUUAAAAUCACGAACAUUUCCUGUCACUACGGUAUUUGCUGUGCAUAGGACGUGCCCGCGUUAGCCGUGUUGCAACAGCUCAGGAUGGAUUUCAGCCAGCAACAGCCUCAAGAGCUGCUGCACAACCACCGGGAAUGUCUUCAGUUGGGCACGUGUAGUUUUGGUCGGCGGGGUCGAGCAACGUACGUAAUGCGCACAGAAACCAAGGUGCAGCGUUCUGUAACAUCGCCAACAUAUCCGGUACGCGGUGGCAGGCUUGCCGAGCACGAAAUGAAGGGGGGGUCGCAUCUCACCAUUCAACUAAGCAUGCAUGUGCUCGGUUGAAUGCUCGGUAGCGUGCGAGUUUACCCCUAUCAGGAUGUUUGUUUGCAUAUCCCCCCAAGCGAGAGGGCUUGCACCUAUGCUGAUGUUCGUUCCAAGAAGUGAACUCAGGACUGAUGCUACGGUGAAAGAUUUGCACGUAAAUUCGCCCGUGCAAUAAAACACCCUGUAACUCGCUUACGCUAAUCUCACAUUCCAAUAUGCCACUGCACUUUCCUCUCCAGCCUGGCCACAUUCUCUUCCUCGAAAACGUACUUGGGCACCUUACAAUCCAACACCAUACGUGCUUUGAAAACGCGGGCAGCUGCUUCACAAGGACCCCCCUAUUUUGCAUACAAGUCGACGUGGAUACUACCUGCUGUGACCGCCGUAUCAGAAGACACUUUUCCUGUACGGGCGGAACCAACAACAGCGAAGUUCAAAAAACCCGACUAGUAGCUAAAACUCAGCAUUCAUAGAGUUAAACGUCCCCGUCCGUGACUUGUACAUAACAAUCCAAGCAUCUCCUAAGCGUCUUUCUCCCCCUUCGUAAGGCCAUCGCGUCCACCAACGCACGUCUUACAUCCGCCCAGUACAGUGCCGUUGAAGCUGUGACGAGUAAUAUGAACGCUUAAGUAAUUCAUGAACAUCCGCUGCGUUUGCCUAGCAUUGUCGUAAAGGAGGUCGCGUCGGCAUCAGGCCAUCAACGUUGCGCCCAGGACAACACUUGCUGCAGCCAAGAAACAGAAAGUAUAUCUCUAUUCGUUCAUCCCCUUGGUCUUAGGGUUGCCCCUAAGACGACGUACAUACCACCUCCUGACACCGCCGUACCGGAAAGCACUUUUCCGGUACGGGCAGAGCCAGCAGCAUUCCAGGUUCAGAAUUGAACCCAAAGGCAGAAAUCACCAUUCUGAGAGUUGAACGUCGCCAUCCAUGAUUUAGACAUACCAUUCCAUGGCCUGUGCAUGCGCGUCCAUGUCCUUCACUACGUUGCUGCUUGCGGCCAAGAAACAAGUGAUGCAAAACGUUGCCUCAUGUCCAUCCGUCCGGUCCACACACGUAAGAGCAAUUUUCCAUAACACGGGAUGUAAGCACCGUUCGGGAUGUCCGUCGUGUUUGCCUCAGGAAGUCGUCCUCCCGGCGGCGGAUCGGGCCCUAAGCACCGGCCGGUACCAGCUGGUACCAGCUCCUGGAGCCGCUUAAUCGAUGCUGAUCGUGAUGUGUAAUUGGUCCAGCAUAAAGCACAUUCUUCAUCAUCCGGAAGGGAUCCCUUAGCCAUAGUACAUGUAAAGGAUGCGCAGGACAAGCAGUGUAAGAGGUAAUCGGAAAAGAACGCAAAAAAGACUGUUCCGUCCAAAUAGCUAACAAGCUGUACCUUAGCGGAAUGCAGGGCGCUUCUAACAUACAUGCCACCCUUUGGAAGUCAUGUUGUAGGCUUGUCCUGUUUGGUUUAUGUUAGCAUUGCAUUAAGAAGUUCAACGUGAUACCUGCAGGUUAACUGUUUACUGAUAAUUAGUUAUUCGGCGGCGUGCGCAUAUCAUUCCCUUACUUCGCCGGCAGGUCCAUGGAAAGUCCCCGAAAAGAUUACAUAACGUUGCAAAACUCCUUUCAGUGCUUUCGGAAAGAGGCCCUAGAUCUUGAGACCCUGGUAAGCCAGAAAUCUCUGACGGCUAGCGCUGUAAGCGCACCUUUUCCAUCUCCUGUAUUUUCAAAGCAUACACACGAGCGAUACUUAAGAAUACGAAAAUUUUAAACAGUUUAACAGUUCAUGUGGAAGCGUUUGCGGUGCAACUGGCGCGAACAGGACACCAGAGGUCACAGGAAUUACAGCUCUUAUGACUACUAGCAGUAUGUGUGCGUGGUUGUUACAGCAGUAGAUCUUAGGGACGAGGGGUAC